CCGAUUAAACUAAAUUAGUUUCAAUUAAAGAAAAUUAGUUGUUAGUUAAUUGUAAUGGUUAGUUGUAAACAAUGUAUAAAUGAUUGAGUUGUAAACUUUUAAUCAAACUAAUUACACAAGUUAAUUGAAAUUACACAAAUUAAUCAAACAAAAGAAGAUUAACAAAUUUCAUAUUUUCCCCCCAAUUCUUUCUCCCCUUUCUUCUUCAUUCAACGACAGUUAGGUUAGUUUUCCCCCCUUUCCUUGUGGGCGGAAAAACCUAAACCUCAAACUUCCGGCGAUCGUCGCCAAUCGUUCUCCAAGUUCCAGACGCUCCGACGUUACCUUCGGGACUUCGUCUCCACCAGAAAUUAACAAAAUGUACACGAACCCAUGGGAAAAUGAAUCGUAGCAAGCGAGAGCGCGGAAACGAAAAAUAAGGUGAAGAAAGCAACGAAAGGAUGACGAAGAUGACAAAGAACGGAAAAUAAGGUGAAGAACGAAAGAUGACGAAGAAAGAGAUGGCUGACAUGAACACAGAAAAUGGCAAGAAGAGGACGAAGGACCUAGCUUGGACCUAAGUAGAGGCUACUAACUAGAACCUAGCCUCUGUAGACCUAUAAGUAGAUGCUAUUAACCCUAGACCUAUAGACAGACGCAAGAAGCUAG
rnacentral:lncRNA from 1 species